UGGUAAAAGUAAAUUAUGGAAAAAUAAUUCUUAAACCCUAAUUAUUAUUCCUGAGUGCCCUGGGCCAGAUUAGGUCUUGAUUGAUUCGAGUUUGGCACCAUUUGAUCAUUAUUGAGUUUUAAAUCAAUUUAUUUCAUUUUCAUGGCAAACAUCUUGACCCUACAUUCAUCAUCAAGUUUCUCUUUACUCAUUCAGUGGAUUUGGCUGAUUCAAGGCUUUAAUUAAUCCUUCCCACUUCCUCUAUUUGACCCAACAAGUUUCACAUUCAGAUCAUCUCCCAAUCUCUCUAACCAAUCUCACUAAGUUGCCUACUUGAUCAUGUUAUAGAAAGUUCACCAAAAACACAAAUUUAUUUUUCUAGCCUUCAAAUUCAAAAUUGGGCUUCGAGGUUGUGUUCAUAAUCAUCCUAGGAGUCUCCCAUAAAAAUUUCAGAUCAAUUGGAGGUCCCUAACACAAAAUCUGCUCAAAACAUCAAACUGUUCUUGGUGUUCUUCAGUUUUUUCAAAUUCCGGUGCGGAUGCGGAUGAACAGAAGUAAUGACUUGGUUUUCUGUUAUGGCGGAUUUGAAUAAAGGACUUUAUAUUUUAUUUUCUUGUUGUUGUGUAAUAAUUAUAACUUAUUUGGGAUACUGGGUAUGUAAUAUUAUUAUUGUAUCGUGUUAAGUUUCUCGCGAGGUUUUUGAACUUAUAACUGUUCGUUUUCAGAAAAAAAUUUCCGUGGUUCCGUGAACCUUAGUCAAUCGUUAGGUUACCUAAUGCGACGUCCCAGUUACUGUAAUUGGGGCGUUACAGGAAUAUUCUCCAACGGAUUCCUAGGCUUUGAAUUCUGAUUUUUCCAUACCUUUUUGGUAACUGACAUCCAAUCACCAUGCGCUGAUUCCGGGCAAUUAAUCUUCGCGACUUUCACGCCAGGGUCAACGCCCUCAGUCAUCUGUUGGUCGGAUUCUAGGGUUGUCCCCUGCCUGGUAUCCUGAGUUGUUGCCGCAACCGUCGCCUUGGCCGUCGGCGGAACCGUAGUGGCAGUUUGUGUGCGGGUCUGCGGCUGUGGAACUGGCGUUCCUGUGCACUGCCUAGCAAGAUGGCCAUAGCAGCCACAAUUCGAGCAUAAGAGGUGCAAUCCCUCAUAUUCAAUGUUAUACCAAACACCACGUAACCCAACCCUACCAAGAACUGGUUUGUUUACAUCAAUUUCAACGCAAACUCGCGCAUACUUCCCCCUUUGCAUAUCCACGGUGUUCAUGUCUACCCGGAUGGGGGUACCAACAGCAGAUGCUAACGUAACGAGAAUACUCUCAUCAUAAAAUUGGAAACCAAGGCCCGGUAUACGUAUCCAAACCGCUGUUGUGCUGAUUUCCGAGUUCGCAGCGACGAAAUCCGGCGUCCAUGGCUUCACAGCCAGAUAAUGGUCAUAAAUCAUCCAAGGAGCACCCGUCAUGGCUCGCUCUCUAUCUUCCAGAACGUCAAACUGGACUAGGAAAUAUCCAUGAUGUAAGUCACGUACCUCCACUCCUCCUGCCGGUUUCCAUAACAUCCUGAGACGUUCACACAGAGCCUUGUACCCAAUAUGUUUACCAAGUAAUUUCACCACCAAACAGUUCACCCAUGGUUUGCAGAUUUCAUCAUAGACCCUGUUUUCCUUGAAGUCAAACAUAGGGAAAUAACUAUUCCCGUCGAUGAGGUCUUUUUUCAUGAUGCCAACGUCCACUAGAUUUUGAACUUGUUUCCUCUUCUCAAUGGUCACCUUCCCGAGCACUUUCUCCUUAAACGUUGGUCGCCGUGUGGGUUCCGGCGGUUUUCCGGCCGGUGGGCCGCCACCAAUGUCAUGUUCCACGUCCAUGUUCAAUUGAAAUCGAAGCACCAACAGGUUCAUCCCCAAGUAUCCAUUACGACCACAACCUUAUUAAUCAACGAAACCAGCAACAACAUGUGUAAAAGACCGUCCAAUAUCUCACCAACAGCAACAAGCAACAGCAGUUCUAAUUUGACAGCACCAUCAUUUGUUUUAUAACAGCAAACACAACAUAUUUCAGCAGCAACAGCAGUUUUAAUUUGACAGCAACAACAUUUGUUUUAUAACUGCAGCAACAGCAUAUUCCAGCAGCAACAGCAACAGCAGUUUUAAAUUGACAGCAACAACAUCUGGUUUAUGACAGCAAACAGCAUAUUUCUUUUGACAGCAACAGCAAGCAUCUGUCUCAGCAGGAUAAAAACUCCACAACAGUACCAGCAGCAGCUAUACGCAUCAACAAUCACCCCUCAGCUAUGCCUCAAGCAUAAAAGGACACAACAACCUGCAUCUAGUACUCCACCUGACAAACAUUCUGAAUCUCAACCACCACUGUCAAAGCUUGAAAACUGGUUUCCCCCCACAAGCACAGAAGACCACCCGCAGUACCUACCAACUGAACCUCAACCAAACGCAUUUGCAAGCUUUGCGUCCACUACACAACUGUUAUUAACCGUUGAACAUUAAACUUUGUUUCUUGAAGUAAAAUUAAUUCAGGUUUAAGGUGCUGAGUUGCUUUUUUCACUGCCUCCCUUUUCGUAGAACCUCCUAGCCCACGCACAUUCCAUGUGAGCCAACGACCCGGCUUGUCAAUUAAGAUGAGGAUGGUUCUCACGGAUUUGAGCUUCCAAUCCUCUCAACAUCAAAGCUUUUGAUCCGCGUGGUUUAAGUCCAAGUUGCUUUCCAAUCAACCAAGCACGUUGCGCGCGUGUUGACACCCCAUCUUCACCUGUCACUGGUUCAAGAAAAUCAUGAGGCAGAGGUAUAGGCUUAUUUUUGCUCCCCUUAGGACGACCCCGCUGAGAGUUUUUCUUGGAAGAAUUUGUGUUUGGUGAAUUAUAAGGAGUUGGUGUGGCGAAAUCAGCGGGCACCAGUUGAAGCUCUUGCAAAGGCGUCUCUGGCUCCUGGGGGGAGAUGACGUGAUUCACCUGAGGGAGAACAGAGGCCGCUGGUGUACUUUGUCGAACGAUUUGGUAAGGCGAGGUCCGAUAAUAUGAUUCACGUGAUGCUGUGUUGUUUACGUGAACUGCAGAAGCCAGGGAAGGUAGCAAAGAUGUCGCGAACCUCAAUAAGUCGUUUUUAUCAUAAAAACACUUAGGCAAACAUGGCCUUAGCAAUUGUUGUUGGAGAACAUGAUGUGGGUCCCAAUAAGUAGAAUAGAGUGGCCAACUGUAUUUCUGAGCCAAAUCUUGUGUGUUA